UACGUAGGGUGCGAGCGUUGUCCGGAAUUACUGGGCGUAAAGGGCUCGUAGGCGGCCCACUAAGUCAGACGUGAAAUCCCUCGGCUUAACCGGGGAACGGCGUCUGAUACUGGAGGGCUUGAGUUCGGGAGAGGGAUGCGGAAUUCCAGGUGUAGCGGUGAAAUGCGUAGAUAUCUGGAGGAACACCGGUGGCGAAGGCGGCAUCCUGGACCGAGACUGACGCUGAGGAGCGAAAGCCAGGGGAGCAAACGGG
rnacentral:rRNA from 1 species